rnacentral:lncRNA from 1 species
CCCCACCAAGAAACUCAGUGGGAAUGAAUGGUCUACACAGAGAAACUGAAAUCUGGUUAGUCAAGAAGGAAAAAACAACCAAGUGCCUAGCAUUAAGAGGAUUUUUUUUUUAAGCUCAGCCUAUGGACAACAAAAGCAUGGACUGUAUUUCUCAGCAUCUUUUGCAGGAUGAGGAAACUGGAGCCCGGGUAGCCAUUUUGUACCUGAAGGUGGAAGUCAAGCUAGGGAGAGCAAACAACACGUGUGUGGAUCCCUGAUGAUCAGGUCAUCCUAAUCCUGAACUGCUUUCCUCUGGUCUCUUUAACAGGAGAGACCAGAGGAAAACCAUGAGAGAGAGGUAAUUUUCUAUCCCACUUAAGCCACUAUUGUACUUUGGACUUUCUUG